rnacentral:rRNA from 1 species
CCUACGGGAGGCAGCAGUGGGGAAUAUUGCACAAUGGGGGAAACCCUGAUGCAGCGACGCCGCGUGAGUGAAGAAGUAAUUCGUUAUGGAAAGCUCUAUCAGCAGGGAAGAAAAUGACGGUACCUGAGUAAGAAGCCCCGGCUAACUACGUGCCAGCAUCCGCUGUAAUACGUAGGGGGCAAGCGUUAUCCGGAUUUACUGGGGGUAAAUGGAGCGUUGACGGGAGUGCAAGUUUGGAGGGAAAGGGGGGGGCUCAAACCCCGGACUGCUCUGGAAACUGUACGGCUGGAGUGCAGGAGAGGUAAGUGGAAGUCGUGGUGUAGCGGUGAAAUGCGUAGAUAUUAGGAGGAACACCAGUGGCGAAGGCAGCUUACUGGAGUGUAACUGACGUUGAGGCUCGAAAGCGUGGGGAGCGAACAGGAUUAGAUACCCCAGUAGUC